rnacentral:tRNA from 1 species
ACAACGUUGGCUCAACUGGUAGAGCAACAGCUUCGGAUGCUGUCGGUUGCGGGUUCGAGUCCCGCACGUUGAC